rnacentral:misc_RNA from 1 species
AGUGAUUCUACUUUCAAUACGAAUUUGGACAGUUUAGGUUCUAACAAGAGUGAUGUGGCUGGGAAUUCAGGGGCAAUGUUGAACAAUAAAAAUGGAGAAUCGUUUGAGAGUGUGGAGGGAAUGGGAGGCUGUAGAAUUGGAAAAAAUGGUAAAGAUGGUUUUGUUUUUGGUGCUAGGAAGAUUGAUUCUGAUUUGGAUUCAUGUUUGGGGAAUUUAGGUUUUGCUUUCGGAGCUAGUAAUACUAGUAGCUUCAAGUUUAGCUCGAAGAGCAAGCACGGUGAUUGGACAAAUAAGAGCAGCUCAGCAUCCUAUCUGAAUGUGUCUAAUAAGGAGCCUGAAUGUAG